rnacentral:rRNA from 1 species
CCAAUAGCGUAUAUUAAAGUUGUUGCAGCUAAAAAGCUCGUAGUUGAAUUUCGGGAUUUAUCCGUCGGUCGGGCUUUUGGGUCUGUACUGGCGUGAUGGAUUCCUACCUUCUGAAUAACCGGCAUGUCAUUUAUUUGGUGCGCUGGGGCAGCAGGACUGUUACCUUGAAAAAAUUAGAGUGCUUAAAGCAGGCUAUUGCCUGAAUACAUUCGCAUGGAAUAAUGCAAUAGGACGGCAUGGUUCUAUUUUGUUGGUUUCUAGGAUCACCGUAAUGAUUAAUAGGGAUAGUUGGGGGCAUUAGUAUUCAAUUGUCAGAGGUGAAAUUCUUGGAUUUAUUGAAGACUAACUUCUGCGAAAGCAUUUGCCAAGGAUGUUUUCAUUAAUCAAGAACGAAAGUUAGGGGAUCGAAGACGAUCAGAUACCGUCGUAGUCUUAACCAUAAACUAUGCCGACUAGGGAUCGGACGAUGUUAAUUUUUUAAUGACUCGUUCGGCGCCUUACG